GACCCCACCCAAACCUGUCGUCGCGACUCAUCUACUAUCCAUUCUAUUCAUCCCCAUGGCGCCGCCGCCGCCGCCGCCGCCUGCCGCCGCCGCCUCCCCCACCCCAAUGCUGCUCGCCCUCACGGGCCUCUCCACCUUCAGCGACAGGCUCGUCGAGUUCUUCAAUCACUGGAACUCCUUCAUCCGCUAUGCCACCGCCAUCUCCGACGACUUACCACCCCUUCCCGCCGCCGACCAACCGCCCAACCUCGCCGAUGUCGCCGAGCCAGAAUCCACUACCCCGCACAGCCCCGUCGCCGUCGAUGAGCCAGAAUCCUCUACCGCGCCCAACCCCGUCGCCGUCGCCGUCGCCGAGCCCAAGCCUGCACCCGUGCCCCAGCCCGAGGAGCCCAGGCCGAACCGCGGCGGCGACCCAUCGGCGGAGCAUAUGGGCCGCAUCUGCGAGCGCAUGGGCUCGGGGGAGCUCCUCCGCUUCGUCAUCUCCCGCAUGGGGGACCUCUCCUGGCUGCUCCGCGCUGUCCCGCCCGCGCUCCGCCGCGCCCCCAACCCCGCGGAGCUCGUGCUCCGGGCUAUCGGCCGCUACUACAUCCGACCCGGGGGCAGGCACACCGAGGCCGCGUGCGAGCUCCUCCUGCUGUCCUACGUGCGCGCCGGCUGCCCCCUCCGCCCGGGCCAGGAGGCCGGGGACGACCACCUGCGGGCGGAAGCCCGCGAGGCGGCGCUCUCGUGGCGCAGCCGGCUUGUGCGGUCCAAAGGACGGGUUGCCGCUGCCGCCGCCAACGAUGCCCGCGGCCUUCUUCUCCUCAUGGCUGCCUUCGGCGUGCCCGUGGAGUUCCCGUCGCAGGAGAUCUUCGAGCUGUUGCAUGCUGCUGGCGGCCUGGCCUGCGCCGAGGUGCUCAAAUGCUCCAAGCAUUUCUUAGAUAAGCUGCGUGAUGUUGUUGCUCAUAUGCUGAAUAGAGGAAUUUAUCAUCAAACCGUUGCUACAAUAAUUGCAUUUGAACUUCAGGAUGCAUUCCCGCUUUCUGCGAUAGCGACUUGUGUCAUUGAGAGAGUUGGGCGUACAAAGGAUCAAGACAGUCAAGAACAGCACCAUCUGCCAGGAUCGAAAGAGAAUGAUGAAGAGAAGCUAGCUCUACUGAGAUUACUAUCCAAAUACGUGGAGGAUCCAAAACAAUGUUCCACAGAGAAUUUCAGCAUUGCUGAUAGGAUUGCGAUGCUGGAACAAAGCCUCGCAAAGCCACAUCAAGCAUUUACAGGAACAAAGCGCAAGAGGACAGCACAGGAGGACAGUGUAGAAUGCACUCGAGGGCCUAAAUGUUCAUACACUCCAGCUGCUUCUAGUGCCUCACGUAACAAAAAUCUUGAAGGAUAGAAGCAGCAUAUCUGUUCAAUUAACUCAGAGUUCGCCAAACUUUGUUGGGGAUCCAGUUGAACCCUGUGGACAAUAGAAUUGCUCUACCUAGCAAGCAAUCUGGUUCAAGUUCUUUUUUUCCCUCCUCGAAAGCAUAUUCUGCAUCAUCCUCAUCAGAAGAUUGAUAAUCACCUAGCUGCAAGAAAGAGAAUGACUAAGAGAAGUCGGCUCUAUUGAGAUAACUAAUAUGUGGAGGAUCAGAAACAAUGUUCCCUAGAGGUUUCUUGUUUCAGUAUUCCUGAUAGGGUUGCGCUGCUAGAACAAUGCCUCGGAAAGCCACAGCAAGCCUUUAUAUGGGAACAAAGUGUAAGAGGACAGCACAGGAGGGCAGUUUAGGGUGCACUCGAGGGCCUAAAUGUCCAUUCACUCCAGCUGCUUGCAAUGCAUCACCUAACAGUAAUCUUGAAGGAGCAAAUUGCUCAACCUAGCAAGGUGUGAAAAAUACUACCACAUUUUCAUUUAAUUUCUUGUGGCAAGCUCGGUGAGACUUGCCUAGUAAGCUCACCAUAUUUCUACAUGUUUGCUAAGUGAUGCAUUUUGGGUUGGGCUGUUGGGUUCUGAAAGACUGAAACUAGGAAAUGCACAUCAUCGUUCCUUUUUUUUUUUUUGAAAAAAGAAAAUUAGCAUCAGUUUGAGUAUUGGUCUCAUUAAGAAGGUCAGUUUACUUGGCAUAUCAAUGAGUUGUACAGCUUUGUUGUA